AGGUGGAGCAUAACCCCGGGAAACUGGGGAUAAUACUCCAUAGAUUAGAGACACUGGAAUGUUCUUUAGUCGAAAGUUCUGGCGCAUUAGGAUGGAUCUGCGGUCGAUUAGGUUGUUGUUGGGGUAACGGCCCAACAAGCCUGUAAUCGAUACGGGUUGUGGGAGCAAGAGCCCGGAGAUGGAAUCUGAGACACGAUUCCAGGCCCUACGGGGCGCAGCAGGCGCGAAAACUUUACAAUGCAGGAAACUGUGAUAAGGGAACCCCGAGUGCCCGUAUACGCGGGCUGUCCAGGUGUUUAAAAGUCAUCUGAAGAAAGGGCCGGGCAAGACCGGUGCCAGCCGCCGCGGUAAUACCGGCGGCUCGAGUGGUGGCCACUAUUAUUGGGCUUAAAGCGUCCGUAGCUGGACUGAUAAGUCUCUUGGGAAAUCCGCCGGCUCAACCGGCGGGCGUCUAAGGGAUACUGUUGGUCUAGGGACCGGGAGAGGUGAGAGGUACUCCGGGGGUAGGAGUGAAAUCCUGUAAUCCCCGGGGGACCACCGAUGGCGAAGGCAUCUCACCAGAACGGCUCCGACAGUGAGGGACGAAAGCUGGGGGAGCAAACCGGAUUAGAUACCCGGGUAGUCCCAGCCGUAAACUAUGCGCGUUAGGUGUGCUGGUGACCACGUGUCACCGGGGUGCCGAAGGGAAACCGUGAAACGUGCCGCCUGGGAAGUACGGUCGCAAGGCUGAAACUUAAAGGAAUUGGCGGGGGAGCACCACAACGGGUGGAGCCUGCGGUUUAAUUGGAGUCAACGCCGGGA
rnacentral:rRNA from 1 species